rnacentral:sRNA from 1 species
CUGUUGAUGUGAAAGUAGAGGCCCUAGUCGGGAGCUAAUAUAAGACGGGCUCGUACGAAUAUCUUGCGCUUUGUCCCUCUCCUCCCUCGCAUUUUCAGUGCCUGAUGUACUCAUGCCAAACCCCUUUAAAUUUGCUCGUUAUUGAUAUCGCAAUGAAUUUCUCCAAAGCAUUCCCACUUUUUAUUCCUCAUGACUAAUAACCUUUCUCCAUGCUCCCAGCUAGAGUGGCCUCGCCUAAGAGAAUGCAUUCUUGGGCGAUGACUAAUUGGUACCUUUGUCCAACGAGCCAGAGAUAGGGAUAUCUGUCAUAAAGCCUUCGAGAAUGGGCAUCUUUUCUUUCUGGACUGCAAGAAGUUGCAGGCUGUCAUCUAAUCUGUUGUUGAUAAUCAUCAGGUGUCUUGUAAAUUGGAAGGGGAUAGUGAUAUGUCUGUUGUAGAUCAGUAGAAGCACUUAAACUGAAUUUGAGAGUCAUACAGUUUACUCCAUCAAGGGGUGGAUUUCCAUUUGUGUAUAGAGCGAGAUAUCAAUUGUUCAUAUAAAUGAUGACAUAGCACUGCAUUUAUCACUGUACUUCACACUCUUUCUGAAGAGAGUCUCUCUCUGUCUGCACCUCUUUUUAGAUGAUGCUUGAUAACCUUUGUAUGUUUUACAAAUU